CUCCACUAUUGCCAAGACCAAAGAGCUGUCGAAGAACACCAGAGACAAAAAUUGUAGACCUGCACCAGGCUGGGAAGACUGAAUCUGCAAUAGUCCAUCUGUCUUGUACACCAGUCGCGCCCAACCUUUUUUGCACCACGGACUGGUGUAAUGCGGGCCUGGCAGAAAAUUACACGCCCUCUCCUGAAACUUGACGGCAAAUAUCCUUAGCCGCAGAGUUCUUCUCCAAUCGAGAAAGGUUUCUUGGCUUCAGCAAUACGGUUUGCCACAAGACUGAAACAUUGUUGUAAUAGCCAGAUGAGGACAUACUGACACAUUCAAUUAGGAGGCAGGAACCUAAUGGACGAAGGUAGCCCAGCUGGACUUCCUGUUAAAGGCAAAGACUAACAAGAGCUGUAUUUACAUUUGUCUCUGCAGUCGACCACUUGUCCAUGUGGCACACAGGCCUGAAUGGGGGGGAAGUGACCUUGCGCUACCAUGGUUGUCUGUUUGAAUGCAACGGGGCGGGCUGAGCAGCUGGUAAAAAGACGCACAGAAUUAAUAUAUAUGCUAUAAAAAUUUAUAUUAUAAAAAAAGCUCUCACACAACCUUCUCGUGCA